UCUCUGCUGUGAUGAUUUCUGAAUUAAUUCACAUGUCAGACUUCAGAGAUUUAUUUAUUUUAAAUCAAUGAGAAUGAAAAUUCAAAUUAUCUGAGCAGAUC